AUAUGGUCAUAUUUGAUCUCUGACAUUAUUAUAUCUGGUGCUAGAUCUAAUUCAAUCCAGUCAAGAAGAAACAACUUCGGCAACAUCUUGGGCAAAUGUGGAGUGGCCAGCUGAAGAUUAUAUUAACACCGAUGCCCAGCUUUAUGGACCUGAUUAUGAGAAAAAUAUGGUUUGCAUUGGGGGAGAUGUGUACUGUCGGAGGUUAGUGUACAACAUGGCCUUGGAUUUCUCCCACAAAGGUUCACAUGUUGCUAGAAAAAUUUUGGAGGGGGUAUUUAAAAAGGAUGUUCUAUUUAAGGCAACACUAACUGGACAAUCACCUAGGGCGCAGGGUAUAGAGCGUCAGCUAGAGCCAGUCAUUCCCUUGUGUUAUAAGGCAAGAACUGCUAUAAUAGAUUUUUGCCUAAGAGUCGCCCGAGAAAGAGGCUGGGAGAACCAAACUCCAAAAGAUAUCGAGCGAGCAAUGUCCCAAAGAUUGGGUGAAAUCAAACGCCAAAAGCGCGAGUAAUUCACGCAAAGUACGAAUAUAUUCAAAUAAAUUGGCGAUAAAAUUCCAAACAAACAGAAGAGAGGCAAAUGUAAUGAAAUAAGACUUUUUUAUGGUGUGUGUGCCUUUUUAUAAUUAAAUACAUUUUUUAAGAAGAAUA
rnacentral:sRNA from 1 species